AAAAAAAAUUUAAAUACCACCCCUAUUUGUUUUGCAUUUUUUUUUUAGUACCCUAUGAUUUAUAGUGUAUUAAUUUAGUACCCCAUAAUUUUUAUUUUAUUUUAUUAUCCCUUGCCUCCAUUAUUUUUUUUAUUAAAAAAGUGACAAAACUAAAAUUAAAAGAUACUAAAGUGAAUAUUCGAUAAAUCUAAAUAGAGUAUCUGAAGUUUUUUAUAUAUAAUUUAACAAAAUGUUAACGGAAGAAUUAAUUUAAAGAGAAAAAUAAAAUUAUAGAAUACUUAAUUAAUACAUUUUAAACCAAUGUUACUAAAAUGAAAAAAGUACCAAACUAUAAGAAUUGGUAUUUAAAAUUUAACCAAAGAGAGAGAGAGAAACCAGACGAAAAAAAGAGAAAUUUCCGUAGAUAUAUAUAUAUAUAUAUAUAUAGACAAGUGCAACACUCUCAUCUACUAUUUUAAGUGAGGUCGCACACUAAUAAUAAUAAUAUUAUUAUUAGUAUUCUACGUUUUAAUUUGUGCAAAGGGUGGCCGAGUUGCUCACUACACGCAUCACACUCGGAUUGGAAGUUUUUGCACUGCAAAUAAAAGCUCAAAAUAAUAAUAAUAAUAAUAAUAAUAUAUAUAUAUAUAUAUAUAAAAUUAAGCUAUAAUAUUUUUAGAAGUAUCACUCCAAUGGUAUUAUUAGGUUUUUAGCCUUGGAUCUAAUUCUUGAUUACUAAUAGCCCUUGGAUCAAACACUAUUCCACCUACCACCAUCUAUCACCAUCAUCUCAACCUCACAUCUCUCCAAUGGCUAAAAAUUCAAAACCAACACCUCAAUGGUGCUUUUGAGAGUAUUCGACUCAACUCUAUAUAUAUAUAUACUCCAACUAGAUAUAUAGCUAGCUAUCAUAAAAGGAAAAAAAAUAAAAAGAAAAACAUAAUAAAAGAAUUACUAUAUAAACACAAAGAAAAAAAAAUUAAGGGAGAAAAUUAACCAUGGGGGUGAGGAAGAGGGUGUUGAGGGACUUGUGAGAAGCUCUUCUUAUUUAGUUAUAUAGAUGGGAUGGAUAGAAGAAGAAGAAGAAGAGUUGUUCCAAGACAUGGUAUAGAUUAGGGUUUAGGGCAGCACGGGCAGCUCGGGCAGCUUGCAAGUGGGCUGCAGCAGCCUGCAGGACAGCACAUUUAAUGCAGAAAAUAAAAUAAAAUAAAAUAAAAUAAUUGCAAGUUGACAGGCUCUUUUAUGUCUAGCUAGCUGUUUGCACUUUGCAGCAGUGCUUGCUUCUGAGAACCCUAGAGAAGAUGAAAAGAAGCUCCAGAAUAUGCUGGUCCGAGAGUCUAGAUCUUGUUUAGCAGUUGAUACAUCAUUUACCUAAUGAUUAAAGGGUUUCAAAAUUAAUAAUUUUAAUGGUUGAUAUGAGGGGUUUUCUCGUUUCGCGGUAUAAAACUAUCCAAAUCAAUUGAAUUUUGGUUAGAAAAUUCUUUAAACUAAUUAGAAUAAGAUCUAUACUCUCGAUCAUGAUUACAAAAUUUAUAUUAUCACCUUUUAGAGAAUAUUUAUUUUCAGCCAUUCAUUUUUACGCUCACUUGAUGGACAAGAAAACUCGUUGUUCUCAACUUAAUUAGUUUAUAUUCGACUCAAAAUGGGUUUAAGGCUGUAAUACUAUCAGUAGCAAAGAGACAUUCGUGCCAUCAAGUUAUUUCAAUAAUGCGGCUUCCAAAUCAACCAUCGGCUUCGCUAGACUUGAUUUACACUAUUAAAAGUAUUUAAAAACUAAAUUAAAUAAUUUUUCGAUAUAUUUUGUUGAGUGAUCCAAGUCUUAAAAUUAAUAAUUUUAAUGGUCGAUGUAAUGUGUUUGUAAAUUUAACGGUGUAAAAUAAUUCAAAUCUGAUGAAACUUUUUUUAAAGAUAUUUUUCAAUAUUCAGAUAGGUCAAUUUGUAUAAAAAAAUUUACUAGUUUUGAACUUUUGCAAAAGUAUGCCGACUUUUUGGAUUAUAUAAAUUCGGACCGAAUUUUUAAAAAGCUGACCAAAAUAUUAUUGUUCCUUUUUCUCUCUCCUCUUUUUUUUUUCUCUUAUAUUUUUUUUCUUUCUCUCCCAAGAGGGCGGCAGAGACAGAGGGCUCCCGCCUCACCUCUGUCUAGCGCACCCCCACCCUCGCCCUCACAUUUCUCGCCUUCCUCGCCUCCAACCCCGUCGAGGCCGCGCCGUGACCCUCUUUUUUUUUUCCCUCUCUAACCCUCCUCCGUAGCCUCUCCUGCUCUUUACGACAGUAAAUAGGGUAACACCACGUCCUCUUCCUUUCCUUUUUUUCUCUCAUUUUUUUUCCUCUUCGACCUUCCUUCAUCGCCUCCGCGACUCUGCACGAUGAUAAUGAAUAUAGCGCC
rnacentral:lncRNA from 1 species